UUUCCGUAGGUGAACCUGCGGAAGGAUCAUUAUUGUAUAACCGAGGUGCGAGGGCUGUCGCUGACCCGAAAGGUCGUGCACGCCCGAGUGCCCUCACACGCAUCCAUCUCACCCCUAUGUGCACCACCGCGUGGGUCCCCCUUUGGCUUGUUCGGAGGGGGGCUUACGUUUUCACACAAACUUUGUAUGCAGUGUAGAAUGUAUUUUUUGUUUUUGCGAUCACGCAAUCAAUACAACUUUCAACAACGGAUCUCUUGGCUCUCGCAUCGAUGAAGAUCGCAGC
rnacentral:misc_RNA from 1 species